AGAACGAACGCUGGCGGCAGGCUUAACACAUGCAAGUCGAACGGGCCCUUCGGGGUCAGUGGCAGACGGGUGAGUAACACGUGGGAACGUACCUUUCAGUUCGGAAUAACCCAGGGAAACUUGGGCUAAGACCGGAUACGCCCUUUUGGGGAAAGAUUUAUCGCUGAGAGAUCGGCCCGCGUCUGAUUAGCUAGUUGGUGAGGUAAAGGCUCACCAAGGCACGAUCAGUAGCUGGUCUGAGAGGAUGAUCAGCCACAUCGGGACUGAGACACGGCCCAAACUCCUACGGGAGCAGCAGGUGGGGAAUAGUUGGACAAGUGGG
rnacentral:rRNA from 1 species